rnacentral:rRNA from 1 species
AGUGGCGCACGGGUGAGUAACACGUGACUAACCUACCCUGGAGUGGGGAAUAACUGAGGGAAACCUUAGCUAAUACCGCAUAACACCUACGGGUCAAAGGAGCAAUUCGCUUCAGGAGGGGGUCGCGGCCGAUUAGUUAGUUGGCGGGGUAAUGGCCCACCAAGACGAUGAUCGGUAUCCGGCCUGAGAGGGCGCACGGACACACUGGAACUGAAACACGGUCCAGACUCCUACGGGAGGCAGCAGUGGGGAAUUUUGCGCAAUGGGGGAAACCCUGACGCAGCAACGCCGCGUGGAGGAUGAAGUACUUCGGUACGUAAACUCCUUUCGAUCGGGACGAUAAUGACGGUACCGAGAGAAGAAGCCCCGGCUAACUUCGUGCCAGCAGCCGCGGUAAUACGAGGGGGGCGAGCGUUGUUCGGAAUUAUUGGGCGUAAAGGGUGCGUAGGCGGUUUGGUAAGUCUUGUGUGAAAUCUAUGGGCUCAACUCAUAGUCUGCACGAGAAACUGCCGGGCUUGAGUAUGGAAGAGGUGAGUGGAAUUCCUGGUGUAGCGGUGAAAUGCGUAGAUAUCAGGAGGAACACCUGUGGCGAAAGCGGCUCACUGGACCAUAACUGACGCUGAUGCACGAAAGCUAGGGGAGCAAACAGGAUUAGAUACCCUGGUAGUCCUAGCCCUAAACGAUGACUGCUUGGUGUGACGGGUACCCAAUCCCGCCGUGCCGUAGCUAACGCGUUAAGCAGUCCGCCUGGGGAGUACGGUCGCAAGGCUGAAACUCAAAGGGAUUGACGGGGGCCCGCACAAGCGGUGGAGCAUGUGGUUUAAUUCGACGCAACGCGAAGAACCUUACCUGGGCUCGAAAUGUUAUGGACCGCGGUAGAAAUAUCGCUUU